rnacentral:tRNA from 1 species
GCCGGGAUAGCACAGCUGGUAGUGCAGCCGAUUCGUAAUCGGCAGGUCGACGGUUCGAAUCCGUUUCCUGGCUCCA